GGUGGGCUCUCUAGGAGAAAGGUCCUCCGGGACUCUGUGGUCACUGUGGAGACUCUCUAGGAGGGAGGUCCUCCAGGACUCUAUGGUCACUGCAUGGAAAAGUCCUCCAGGUCUCUAUGGUCACGGGUUGGACUCUCUAGGAAGAAAGUCCUCCGAGUCUUUAUGGUCUUCCACUAAAACCGUGCUAGAAGGGAGGUCCUCCAGGUCUCUAUGGUCACCGCUUGGACUCUCUAGGAGGAAAGUCCUCCAGUCUUUAUGGUCUUCCAUUAAACCGUGCUAGAAGGGAGGUCCUCCAGCACUCUAUGGUUUGAAGUCCUCCACCUCUCUAUGGUUGCCAGCACGGCCCCACGUGCCCACGGGACACUCUAGCCCACCUCCCCGGUCUCUAUGGCCCCGCAGCCCCUCUGGCCCUUCUUCCCCCCUCUCUAUGGUCUCACCCCCCCCCCCCCAAGGAGGCCACGCGCAGCCACACCUACGGCUCCAAGCACUUUAUUGGGGGGGAGGGGCAGGGGGCAGGGCCACAGCACCCAUCGGUCACCGGGGGGCACCCAUGGGUGCUGGGGGACACCCAUGGGUGUCAUGGGGCACCCUGGGGUUCAACUGAUGCCGAUGCAAAGCCAAUUGCGGUCCUCCAGGGUGGCGUUGACCAACCUCUAAGACCCAACGUUAGCCGUAGAGCACCCAUUGAUGGUUGGGGCGCACCCAUGGGUGCUGGGGGUGGCCUUGGGGCACCCCACGAUGUCAACAACCACCCAUGGGUGCUCAAGGACCACUGUGGGCUUCAUCUAACACAGGUACAAAGGGUUCUGUGGUCCUCCAGGGUGGCGUUGACCAACCUCCAAGACCCAACGUU
rnacentral:lncRNA from 1 species